rnacentral:lncRNA from 1 species
UCCUUUGAGUUUGUUGGGGAGGUCCAUGGCUUACCGUUCCAUGCCAGGCACACUUGUUCUUUCGUUCUGGAAGUAGUUUUGCAAUUUCUCCCAAAGAUGAUGAACUCUGUCACCUGUCUGUGUUCCAGAGCAGGAGAUUACAUUUAUGUACCAGAGGAUCAGCUCAAGCAUGCUGUGGGCGUUACAGAUGUCAGACAUCUUCUAUCCCCUAAGGGUCAGAGAAGCUUGUAUGUUUGACCUGUCAGUUUACCUAGGCAUACUAAACCUUCAGGGAAGGGGCUAGAUGCAUUCUGAGGAGAGGAGGUCUGAGUUGGAGAACGACGAGGGUGUUAACCUAGAUAGAGGGCAGGACCCUUGGAAUAGAAGGAAGGCAAGGCUGGGAUGGGAAGUCAGGCUCAAUUUAUGCCAGCUUGGAAGAAUAAUGGGGUUUCUCUACAUGGUCAUCUGCCCACUUCAAACAAUACUAACGUGCUGUUUCAUAGACCCUGGAAUCUAUCGAACUGGGAUUUCUGUACCGAAUUGCAUUGUAAUUCGAGGGGAGAAUGGAUUAUUCUCCUGGAUUAUGAGGUGGCAUCAUGCUGUGACUUUAGUCCGUCAAUCACUGGUUACCUGACAUUGCUCAAGUCUCCAAACCUCUCUGGAUCUUAGAAAUGCUAUGAAGGCUAAGUGAAGUGAGAAGCGGGGUGCAUGAUAGCCCAUUGCAAAGAAGUAAAAAAAAAAAG